rnacentral:rRNA from 1 species
CCCCUAGAUGUUCUGGGCCGCACGCGCGCUACACUGAACAGUUCAACAAGUCUUAACCUUGGCCGAUAGGUCUGGGUAAUCUUUGAACGCUGUUCGUGAUUGGGAUAGACCUCUGCAAUUAUGGGUCUUCAACGAGGAAUUCCUAGUAAACGCAAGUCAUCAGCUUGCAUUGAUUACGUCCCUGCCCUUUGUACACACCGCCCGUCGCACCUACCGAUUGAAUGGUCCGGUGAAAUCUCGGGACGGCGGCUUGGUCGCUUGCGUCCGACUGCUGAAACUUGAUUAAACCAUNUNAUUUAUNGGAAGGUGAANUCGUANCA